rnacentral:rRNA from 1 species
CCUACGGGAGGCAGCAGUGAGGAAUAUUGGUCAAUGGCCGAGAGUCUGAACCAGCCAAGUAGCGUGAGGGAUGACUGCCCUAUGCGUUGUAAACCUCUUUUAUCUGGGAAUAAAAUGUUCCACUUGUGGGAUUUUGUAUGUACCCUAUGAAUAAGGAUCGGCUAACUCCGUGCCAGCAGCCGCGGUAAUACGGAGGAUCCGAGCGUUAUCCGGAUUCAUUUGGUUUAAAGGGUGCGUAGGCGGGUUUUUAAGGCCGUUGUGAAAUUUUGCGGCUCAACCGUAAAAUUGCAGUUGAAACUGGCAGUCUUGAGUGCAGUAGAGGUGGGCGGAAUGCGUGGUGUAGCGGUGAAAUGCUUAGAUAUCACGAAGAACUCCGAUUGCGAAGGCAGCUCACUGGACUGCAACUGACACUGAGGCAUGAAAGUGUGGGGAUCGAACAGGAUUAGAUACCCGAGUAGUC